UACGUAGGGUGCGAGCGUUAAUCGGAAUUACUGGGCGUAAAGCGUGCGCAGGCGGCGCCGCAAGUCAGGCGUGAAAUCCCCGAGCUUAACUUGGGAAUGGCGCUUGAAACUACGGUGCUGGAGUGUGGCAGAGGGAGGUGGAAUUCCACGAGUAGCGGUGAAAUGCGUAGAGAUGUGGAGGAACACCGAUGGCGAAGGCAGCCUCCUGGGCCAACACUGACGCUCAUGCACGAAAGCGUGGGGAGCAAACAGG
rnacentral:rRNA from 1 species